rnacentral:tRNA from 1 species
GGGCCUGUAGCUCAGUUGGGAGAGCGCUUCGUUCGCAACGAAGAGGUCAGGAGUUCAACUCUCCUCAGGUCCA